UCUGUGGCUGUUCCACGUCCUCCUGCUGCAUCCAACGUGGAUCCGAGUGCCGUGGCUACAAAGGCUUGUCACUGUCUCAUGCUGGGUCCCUCACAUCCAAGAGCUACUUGGCAGUUUCCAAGGCAACCACCUGUGGAAUAAUUAAAAAGGAUGAAGUGUUAGCGUGCCAGAUAUAAGGAAUUCUUGCCUGGAGAGAGCGUUUCACUUUCUUCACGUCUUGAAGAAUCCAAACGUGCUUCUGCCAGCAAAGUUAAGAAAAAGGAACGGUGGCUGAGUUGCACAAGUGAACCAGGACGACACAAAAUUAAGUCAAAGAGGAAUGCUCAUUUUCCUAUUUUGUAAGUCUGUUGGUCAGCUUUUCUAUAAGACAUCCAUUUAAUUACAAAGGCCAUUAGUUUUCCUCAUUUCCUGGUUUGUGAGUGCAGUUUACAGAACUGUCUGGGUCCCCUGGUUUUGAGCUCAGCAUGAGGGGCACAAGGUGGAUCUUUUCUCUGCCUUUGCUAUCACUGUGUCAAAGCACAAAGGAGGUCAGGGCUUGGUUGUGUCUGAAUUAUUGUUGUAGCUGUGGUGAUGCAGGGGUGUGAAGAGGAGAGGUUUGAAGGCAAGAAGGGCUGGAAAGGGAUUUUGGCCUCCAAAAGUUAUUAGUGGUGUCUGUAAUACGGUGUAAGAAGAGUUUGAACCUCACUUUGAAGCUGCUGUAGUUUGAUUAUUUUGGAAUACAUUUAAAACGUUCACUGGGUACUGUAAGAGCUCAUGGUUUGAUGAGGUUGGAGCAGCCUGGUCUAGUGGAAGGUUUAGCACCAGAGUUUUUCCAUUUUGGUCGAAAGAGCAGCGUGUUCUUCAGUGGUAUUUUGCAUAGCAAGCCUUGCAGACCAUCUUUGUGAUUCACUUGUAGUUAUUCAGUGGCACAUUUUAAAGAGAGCUGCUUCCAACUGUCUUGAGCAGAGCGUGUUCUGUGUGAUAACAACAUCUACCCUGCAGCUGUAAUAACAAAACCCAAGGUGCUUUUACUGAAUCUGGUUUCACACCAGCUAACAAGUGGACUCAUUAUAAGAUGAUGUGAGGUUUUCUAUGUAUUGACUCAACUCUAAAAUAUCUAUAACUCUGCAAAAUGCGUUUCAGCUUGUUUACUAAGCGAGAAGUGUUAUUUUUAAUGCAUAGGUUUUGAAAUUAUUGGUGACUCCAGUUUUUCCAACAGCCUUUGUGGGGUGUUUUAGUUAAAAUUGUUUUGUACUUCUAUGGAUGCCAUUUUAAUUUAUACCUAUAUCUUUAUUUUUUAAUUUUUUCUGUGAGAAAAGUUUUUAAGUAAUUCUCCAGAGUUGCUUUUUAUAGACACUCAAUAUUUUAAAAAAAAAGGAAAAAAAGCGGUAGAACAUGUGUCAGGCAUCUGCAAUUCCUUCAGCAUCAUGUUUUCCACAAUGAUUUAAUAGCUAUUGAGUCUCCUCAAAUAUCUUUGUUUCCAAGACCUAUUUAAUGGUAAUAAAUAAUGUUGGCUGUUAAAUUCUUGAAAUGAUUCAGUAGGACAGUCGUUUCCUUAGCACAUUCCCUGAGAGAUUGUAGAUAGAAAUGGAAAAGUCCUUAACCAGGUCAGCUUUUUCCCUGCAAUACAUGUGGUCAGUGCUGGAAGUGAUAAUGAAGUUGCCAACAUUUGUUCUGGUAAGCUGCAGUUGUCCAGUGUUCCCUGUUCAUUUCUUGCUAAUUUACAGCGACUUUUCUGUUGGAGGUACUAAACUGCAUUGAGAAAUUCUGAGCCAGAUACAGAACAAGAGACUUGUCAUGGUGUGGUGGAACUUCUAAUUUUAAAAAAG